UGGGACCUUAAGAGGAAGAAUCUUCCCCGGGAUGAUUAGAAAUGGUGGACAAAAAUGGGAUAUCCAUUCUGGAGAAUUUCCGAAAAGGUUUCUACAUCAUGAUACAUGUCUGUUUGCAGGGUUUUAUUCUCAUAGAUGAUAAGAGAGAGAAUGACCACAGAUUCUGCCUCCUUAUUUAAAAGGACUCCCAACUGGAGAGAUAUGUGCUGCUGUGAGAGUUUGCCCACAGGUGCAUGUGUGUCCCAGCUAAGAAAAGAGCUCGGUGGUAGGCUGGAUGCCUAAUACCAGAUAGAACAGAAGAAAGCCUGAGCUCUUUCAAAGCCUCAUUCUCAAAGAACUGCUACUGUUUGAUUUGUCUGGCGGCGCCCUUGGAUACCGCAACCAGAAGACUUCCUUUAUUUACCUGACUUGAGAGCCCCCACCAAGGCUGAAAACCUUUCUCUGGGACCGUUUGUUGACAACAUUUGUAGGAAACACUCUGAUAUUAAUGAUGCAGUAGAGGGAUGUUAGAUUCUUCGUACUAUCUGAGCUAAGCUCCGGUGUUGUCGGAUUCUCGGGGGAAAGCCUUCUGCUCUACAG